UACGAAGGGGGCUAGCGUUGCUCGGAAUGACUGGGCGUAAAGGGCGCGUAGGCGGACGGCUUUGUCGGGCGUGAAAUUCCAGGGCUUAACCUUGGGGCUGCGUUCGAGACGGGUUGUCUAGAGUUUGGAAGAGGGUCGUGGAAUUCCCAGUGUAGAGGUGAAAUUCGUAGAUAUUGGGGAAGAACACCGGUGGCGAAGGCGGCGAGCCUGGUCCUUGACUGACGCUGAGACGCGAAAGCGUGGGGAGCGAACAGG
rnacentral:rRNA from 1 species